rnacentral:rRNA from 1 species
GACGAACGCUGGCGGCGUGCUUAACACAUGCAGGUCGAACGGAAAGGCCCUGCUUUUGUGGGGUGCUCGAGUGGCGAACGGGUGAGUAACACGUGAGUAACCUGCCCUGGACUUUGGGAUAACUUCAGGAAACUGGGGCUAAUACCGGAUAGGAGCUCCUGCUGCAUGGUGGGGGUUGGAAAGUUUCGGCGGUUGGGGAUGGACUCGCGGCUUAUCAGCUUGUUGGUGGGGUAGUGGCUUACCAAGGCUUUGACGGGUAGCCGGCCUGAGAGGGUGACCGGCCACAUUGGGACUGAGAUACGGCCCAGACUCCUACGGGAGGCAGCAGUGGGGAAUAUUGCACAAUGGGCGGAAGCCUGAUGCAGCAACGCCGCGUGCGGGAUGACGGCCUUCGGGUUGUAAACCGCUUUCGCCUGUGACGAAGCGUGAGUGACGGUAAUGGGUAAAGAAGCACCGGCUAACUACGUG